GACGAACGCUGGCGGCGUGCUUAACACAUGCAAGUCGAACGGAAAGGCCCUGCUUUUGUGGGGUGCUCGAGUGGCGAACGGGUGAGUAACACGGGAGUAACCUGCCCUUGACUUUGGGGUAAAUUCAGGAAACUGGGGGUAAUACCGGAUAGGGGCUCCUGCUGGCUGGUGGGGGGUGGAAAGGUUCGGCGGUUGGGGAUGGACUCGCGGCUUAUCAGCUUGUUGGUGGGGUAGUGGCUUACCAAGGCUUUGACGGGUAGCCGGCCUGAGAGGGUGACCGGCCACAUUGGGACUGAGAUACGGCCCAGACUCCUACGGGAGGCAGCAGUGGGGAAUAUUGCACAAUGGGCGGAAGCCUGAUGCAGCAACGCCGCGUGCGGGAUGACGGCCUUCGGGUUGUAAACCGCUUUCGCCUGUGACGAAGCGUGAGUGACGGUAAUGGGUAAAGAAGCACCGGCUAACUACGUG
rnacentral:rRNA from 1 species